UCUAUGUCUAUCUAUCUACUUAUCUAUCUAUCUAGAUAGAUGUAUCUAGUCCUGAGGAAGGGAUAUGGCAGAGGGUAGUGCCAUCUUCAGAGGCUUAACAAAUGCCUGGGUGCGGGUCCCCAGCAUUAGUCUGGCCCCUGCAGAAAUCAGAUGGACCAUGGCAGAUGAAAAGGGGUAACCACAAACUGAAUCAAGUAAUAGCCUCAACUUCAGCUAAUGUGCCAUACACAGUAUCUUCACUAGAGCAAAUUAACACAACCUUGGGAACAUGGUAUGUGGCUAUUAAUACUGUGAGUGUGGUUUUUCCCACACUCAUCAAGAAGGAGGGUCAGAAGCAGUUUGCAUGGCAUGAGAUGGACAAUAGUAUAUGGUCACAGUUUUGCUCUGGAGCUACCCACAAGGUUUACUCCAGAGCUAUCCUGACCUCUGUUAUAAUAUAGCCUGAAGUGACACAUGCUAUGUAGACAUCCAGAAGAACAAUGCAUCAGUCUAUUAAAUCAGUGAUGUCCUAUGAAUUGGACCCAAUGAGCAAGAAUGGAUGCCACAGCAGGACAUUCUAGGGGAUGGGAGAAACACCCUACAAAGAAUCAAGGGCCUGCCAUAUUGGUGGACUUUAUAGAUGUUCAGUGGUCUGAGGCAAGCCAGGAUAUUCCAUCCAGAAUAAAAUUCUUGGACCUUGGACCUCUUAUCACUAAGAAGGAAGCAAAACUUAGUAGGCCUCUGGGUUCUGGAGGCAGCAUAUUUUGCACUUGGGAAAACCGAUGCAACCCAAUUCGUCAGGUGACCCGAAAGGCUUCUAGCUCUGAGGGGGCCCAGAGCAUGCAAGGGCUCUGUAGUAGGACUAGGCUAUGGCAUCAGCAUCCCUGUUGUGGGCACUAUGUAACCAAGAAAGCCAUGGUACCAUAGGUAUCUGUGCAAGAGAAAGACACUGCGUGGAACCUCUGCUUCCAAUAGUAAAGACACAUCAGAAACCCCGAGAGUUCUGGAAUAAGGCCAUGAAAUCUACAGAAGAGAACUGUAAGCCAUUCAAAAUACAGCUCAAGGCAUGUAACUGGGCUUGGUAGAAACUGAGCAUCUUACCGUGGGACAUCAAGUGACUAUGUGGCCAGAACUGCCUGUCAUAAGCUGGAAGCUGCCAAACCAAGCAAACAAUAAAACAAGCAGAGCCAGUGACAACCCAUUGUCACACAGAAAUGGUACCUCUGAGGUCAGACACAAGCAGGGCCAGAGGGCGCAAGGAGGCUUCAUAAACAAGAAGCCCAGAUCCUCAUGUCACCUACCGAGUUUCACUGUUCUUCUCUCAGGGCUCACACCUCAUGUGGGGCUCCCUACAACUCUCUGAAGGGGGAGGAAUUAGUCCAAGCUCAGUCCACCGAGUCAUUGACUUGAUAUGUAGGUGUAGGCAUAAAAUGGACCACCACCACAGUGCAGCCCUACUCAGCGGAGGCCCUGAAAGACACCAGUGAGAGAAGAUCUUCCCUUGGGGCGAUGCAUCCGGUCACCAUUUUGUGGGGAUCACUAAGAAGAAAAGAAGCCGUCUUUGGUUGAACUUGGAGCUGGGAGUGUGUACUCCUGAGGCUACCGGCAGCCAUCUUGACAUUGUGAGGAGAAAACCUGCUUGAGAGUGGAACCAACUCAGAGGAAAAUAAAACUGAAAGACCAAAAAAGGACCAGAUUCUGAUGAUCCAUUGUGCCUGGAUCCAAUUGUGCCUGAAACUCUCCCUGGAAUUUUUGCUCAUUGAGGCAACACAUCUCUUUUUAUGUGUGUGAUUAACUCAGUCUGAGUUGAAUUUUUUUGUUGCAGCUGAAGGGUUCCAUGUAAUACUGUCCACAGUUGGACAGACCCUUUCUUAAUCGCCAUACGUCUUAAGGAGGAAUUCAUCUGGAGUUAUGGGAAUGAUGGAUGCUGCCUGUCCUAACGCAGGAAUGCUGUGCCCUGCUCCCCUGUUGUCCCUGAGCCCGGAGGCCCGAGGGGGAGGCUUCAGUGCUGGGGCACUGGGCUGUUUCAUGGAGAGUCACGGUCAGUUGUGCAUCUGCUUUGGAAGAGUAUUUUUAGCGGCAAUAGAGUGGUUUGCAAAUAAACAAAUGCCCGGAACAAAUGCUGAGAAGGAGAGCGCCUGUGUGCGGCCCGCUGUCAAACUAGGUCAGCCUCAGGCACAGCGACUCUUGACAGUUUGCUCCCGAAGGUGGCCCGCAGGUGCCGGCUCCCUUCCCCGCCAAUCAGCCAUCUGUGGUUUGAGACUCACAGGCCUGGGAGAGACUGGAGAUGCCCUCAGCUCUGUGGCCCGCCCUGCCACAUGGGUGUACACCCGCCCCAACCCAGAACCCAGUGGGGUGGAAAACCCUUGAAUUCCCCAAAGUGAACCCCCAGUGCUUUGCUCUGUCAGCAAUUCCAGGCGAUGUGGUCCUUGCAAGUGGCAAAUGUGCGAGUCUAGAGGGCAGAGUAACCACUUUGGAACCAGGCACACCUGACAUCAACUCCCCGCUCUGCUGUGGCACCUGGAAAGAACUGGAAUCUCUGCAUCUUCCUGGCUGACUAAGGAUGCCAUCCUACGGAUUUAGUGAUCUCAUUCCCCAGCACGUAGGAAGUUUUCCACCAGGGUGACUCUCCUUUUCCCCCUUGCUCAAUUCUGAGCUUCCUGAGGGGCAGGUGGAGGCCAUCCUAUUGAUCUCUGCACGCCCCCACCAAGGCCUGCACACAGUAAGUGCUCAAUAAAUGCUGAGCGCUCGUAUGACUGAAUCACAUCUUCCCACACUCGGCUGUAUGGCCUCAGCUGGGGCCACGCUGGGGGCCUCAGGUCUCCCUGACUCUGAGGCUCUCUAUUUCAGCUGUCCCACUCAAAGCCGGCAUGAGACUUCUCUGAGUUGAUGGGGACCCCCGUUUGUUUGUUCCACUGAGACCUACGUGGGGUGAGGGCUGAUGCCUCAAAGCAGAGAUCUCAAGAACCUCAGUAGGUACAGCCUACAGAUGUGACUGAUCACACCACUCCCCCGCUUGGAACCUUCUAGUAGCUUUCCCUGGCUUUGAGGGAAAAAGUCUAAACUCAUCACCAUAAUAGCCAAACCCCUAGUGAUCUGGCCUCAUUGUGUGAACAGUGUUGCCCUCACACUCCAGUCAGCACGGCCCUCCUCGCUGUUCCUCAGACACACGGAGCUUGUCUGCCUCUGCCAUUUCCUCAGUCUGGAACGUUCCGCCCUUGGCCUUGUGUGAGGCUAGCUCCUUCUCUCACUCAGGGCUCACCUCGGUUGCUUCCUCCUCUGAGGCACCUCCCCUGUCCUCCCUGCCCAAGGGGGACCCUCCGUGCAUCUCUGUCCUGUCCACCUCACCGAACAUAACAUCCUCCAAAAUUAUCUUGUGCCCUUUUGUGUGUUUCUUGUCUGCCUCUCUCCCCAACUCAAAUGCUUGUCCGUUUUGUUCUCAUCUUAUGCCUAGUGGUGAGAAUAGCGCUGGCGUAUGAUGAAAGCUCAACACACAGUUGCUGAAAGAAUGAGUGAGUGAAUGAAUAAAAACAGAGGGUGGAGGAGCAGGCCCUUCAGGACUGGGGCAUCCCAUGCUUCAUGGAAAAUGCAGUUGUCUGGCAUGGGCAGCCAGCUGGAAGGCCCUGGCUUCCAGGACUGGUGGAGGAGGACAGACCAGGCGAGGGCAGGGCCAGACUCUGGGCCCAGCAGCAGGGGCAGGUCCGGUAGGGUUCCUAACAGGUGAUUGGUCACCACUUGGGAGUGGGGCCUCCCCAGGCUGGGAGAGGAGUCUGUGAGCUGGGCAUAGGACAUGGCUGUUUUGUCUGCCCAGCCUCCAUUCUCCCCUCUUCUGGCAAAUGGUCCCUGGUUUUCCUUGAGGGGCCAGCUCUCCUUCACUCCCAAUCUAUGUGAUCUGGAGAACCUUCUUCCUCCCCUCCCACCCUCCAUCCAGGGCGAGCAUCUGACCCGGGGCCGGCUGUUCAGCUCAUCCCACCUCUUGGCCACAGUGACUGGUACAAGGUUGGCCCAAGCAAAGCCCAUCCUGGGGCUUUUGUUGGAGCAACUGGAUAAGAAGUGAGCAGAG
rnacentral:lncRNA from 1 species